rnacentral:rRNA from 1 species
GACGGAAGGUGCAAGCGUUGCUCGGAAUCACUGGGCGUAAAGGGUGCGUAGGCGGCCGUGCAAGUCUGGCGUGAAAGCCCCGGGCUCAGCCCGGGAAGUGCGCUCGAAACUGCGCGGCUCGAGUGCCGGAGGGGAGAGUGGAAUUCCUGGUGUAGCGGUGAAAUGCGUAGAUAUCUGGAGGAAUACCGGUGGCGAAGGCGGCAUCCUGGACCGGCAUUGACGCUGAUGAGCGAAAGCUAGGGGAGCAAACGGG